rnacentral:rRNA from 1 species
GACGAACCGUGCGAACGUUAUUCGGAAUCACUGGGCUUAAAGCGCGUGUAGGCGGGAGGGCACGUCCGUCGCUGAAAUCCCCCGGCUCAACCGGGGAACGGGCGCGGAUACGACCUUCCUUGAGGGGCGUAGGGGGACCUGGAACUUCCGGUGGAGCGGUGAAAUGCGUUGAGAUCGGAAGGAACGCCCGUGGCGAAGGCGGCUCUCUGGGACGGUACUGACGCUGAGACGCGAAAGCGUGGGGAGCGAACAGG